rnacentral:rRNA from 1 species
GACGAACGCUGGCGGCGUGCCUAAUACAUGCAAGUCGAACGCAGUGGCGGACGGGUGAGUAACACGUGGGUAACUACCCCCCUCUCUGGGAUAACAGUUGGAAACGGCUGCUAAUACCGGAUAGUGGGGGAUGACUCGCGUCCUAUCAGCUUGUUGGUGGGGUAGUGGCAUACCAAGGCUACGACGGGGAGCCGUCCUUAGAUGGCUACCGGCCACAUUGGGCUGUGAUACGGCCCAAACUCCUACUGGGGGCAUCAGGGGGGAAUAUUGCACAAUGGGGGAAACCCUGAUGCAGCAACGCCGCGUGCGGGAUGACGGCCUUCGGGUUGUAAACCGCUUUCAGCCAUGACGCGGUAGUGGCAGAAGAAGCACCGGCUAACUACGUGCCAGCCGCCGCGGUAAUAC